rnacentral:lncRNA from 1 species
GUCCCGGAGCCGCACGGCCAGGCCAGGCCUUGAACCUGAGCUCCCACCCUCUGGGUCGGCGGAGGAGAGUGGGGGUGCAUCAGUGCCCCCCGGGACCCCCUCUUCCAGCUCUUAAAAGCCCCCUCGGGGGGUCGGUGAGGUAACGGGCGGACCAGAGGGACCACAGUGGGGAAGACCGAGCCUCGGCUCCCGGGCUUCAUCCCUGCGAGGCCGUGUGCGAGAUCGAAGCCAGGGCCUCCUUCUUGCCUCCCCAGUCCGACUGGAGGCUCCUGAGGUCUCGGUCCGCUCCACGGAGGCCUCCCUCCAGCAUCUUUGCUUGGGACCCCCGCCCCCAUCAAUCCUCCGCUUCGUCCACUCCCCGCACACUGACCCCACCGCGGUCGCACCUCCGCCUCCCAGCUCUCCCUCCCACCCCUGGGCUCCCUCAAUCCCACUCCAUGCCUGCCUCUCCCAGCCCACUGCUCUUCCUCCAAUAAGCCCGGCUUCUAGUCUGACUCCCUGGGCCCCUCGAUCAUCCCCUGCCUCCAGCUCUGUGAAGGGCCCUUUGUCCACCCAAGCACGGGGUCAGCCUUGGCCCCUUCCUCUCCCCCUCUCAUCCCACUCACAGAGCCUUGGGGGCCCUGCUCUUUUCAUCUGGGGCCAGCCACGUUCUCCCUUUCCCAUGGCCACUGUCCUGCUCCGGCGUCCAGGCUCCUCCUGGAGCCCAUGGUCUCCUGCCUCCCCGUGUCCUAGUGCGCUGCAGACAGGCAGCAAGGGUUUCCACUCUGAAUCUGAGCCUGCCACUACCUGCUUAAAACCAUCAGUGACUCCCCAAAUCGAGUUGGAAAUCUCUUCUUGUCUCCACGAACUGGCCCCGGGCCUCUUACACUCCCUCAGGGCUUGGUUGGUCCUUGCUUUCCGGCAGGAACACUUACCCCCUGGUCGUGCCCUUGCCACCUUCUACACAUCCUUCAGACCCUGGGCCUUCCCCCAGCCCCCAGACCAGGUCAGUACCCGCUCUCCUGCUCUGUUGUACACCCUCACAACACCAGCAGCUUCCCUGUGCACCUGCAAACUGAACCCACUGGGAGUGGAGUCUGUUUCCUGUCUGUGUCCCCACUGGCCAUGACUCUGAGGGGGCAGGACUAGGUCUGUCUUGCUCAUCCCUGGAGCCCUGUGCCCAGCACAGUGUCUGCCCACAGCUGGCCAUCCCCAUUAGAGGAGGGUGUGCAGGCCUGUGUCUCCUUCAGCCCGAAUACCUUCCUGAUCUCCAUGCCAGGUGCCCUGGCCCAGACAGCAGGAGAAAGAAAGGACUCCUCUCUGUCUCAGGCUCCUCAUUUGUAAAAAGGGAGAAAUAAUACCUACCCCACAGUGUUGUUUUGAAGGUUAAAUAACAGUUCACCUGUGGCCGGGUGCGGUGGCUCACACUUGUAAUCCCAGCACUUUGAGAGGCUGAGGAGGGAGGAUCACUGGAGCCUAGGCGUUCAAGACCAGCCUGGGCAACAUAGCAAGACCCUGUCUCUACAAAAAAAUUUAAAAAUUAGCCAGGUACUGUGGCGCAUGCCUAUAGUCCCAGCUACUCGGGCGACUGAGGCAGGAGGAUCUCUUGACCCCAGGAGUUUGAGGCUAUAGUGAACCAUGAUUGCAAAGCCUGGGUGACAGAGUGAGAUCCUGUUUCAAAAUUUUUUUAAAGAAGCUGGGCCUGGUGGCUCAUGCCUGUAAUCCCAGCACUUUGGGAGGCCGAGAUGGGAGGAUGACUUGAGGUCAGGAGUUCGAGACCAGCCUGGCCAAAUGGUAAAACCUCAUCUCUACUAAAAAUACAAAAAUUAGCCGGGUGCGGUGGCUCACACCUGUAAUCCCAAUACUUUGGGAGGCUGAGGUGGGCGGAUCAUGAGGUCAGGAGAUCGAGACCAUCCUGGCUAACACGGUAAAACCCCGUCUCUACUAAAAAAUACAAAAAAUUAGCCGGGUACAGUGGUGGGCGCCUGUAGUCUCAGCUAUUCGGGAGGCUGAGGCAGGAGAAUGGCGUGAACCUGGGAGGCGGAGCUUGCAGUGAGCUGAGAUCGUGCCACUGCACUCCAGCCUGGGCGACAGAGCGAGACUGUGUCUCAAAAAAAAAAAAAAAAAAAAAAAAUUAGCUGGGCGCGGUGGUGGGUUCCUGUAAUUCCAGCUACUCAGGAGGCUGAGGUGGGAGAAUCACUUGAACCCAGGAGGUGGAGGUUGCAGUUAGCCAAGAUGGUACCACUGCACUCCAGCCUGGGUGACAGAGCGGACUCUGUCUAAAAAGGAAAAAAAAAAAAAAAGCUUGUAUAAUAGAAAGAUGACCAAAUAAGGAAACAAAUGAGUUCUUCAAAGGAGACUUAGUGUCCAGGAAAGGAUUCUAUGGACCCUGAGAGGAUUUAGAGAAGAGGUAUAUAGGCUUGAACCCAGGAGGCGGAGGUUGCAGUGAGCCGAGAUGGCACCACUGCACUCCAGCCUGGGUGACAAAGUGAGACUCGGUCUCAAAAAAAAAAAAAAAAUUUAAGAAAGGGUUCACAUGUUGAGUGCCUGGCACAAAGUGGGUUCCAGCAAACACCUCUCCCUCUUCUGAUCAUGACGUUUCAGGUACAGAGGGUAGUGUUUGGGGUGGGUAGAAACCUUCCCUGGGGUCACUGGGGUGGCAGAGGAGGGAAGGGCCCCCUUUCCCAGAUGUCCUGUUUAAUUCUCUUGAGAGCUCCAGGAGGUCAGUGCUAUGCCCAGUUCACAUAUGUGGUUUGGAAGAGGCAAAGCGACCUGCCCACAGGCACAGCCAGGCUGAUCAGUGCCCACUUCUCUUUGGAGGGACCCUCCCCAGGACUGCUUGGUUAGGCCCUGUGAAUGUGCAGAUGUGUGGGCUGCUAGUGGCCUCAAUAUUGGGACACUGAUUGCUCCCAUGAGGCCAGGACCCUUCCUGAAUCUGCCCUGGCAUCUGUGUGACCUGGACUCCACUUCUGAACUUGGAAGGCCUGGAUGAGAUGUCCCCUGGGGACCAGGGGAUGAACAUUUCUCCCCUAACCUUCUCUGUGGAAACAGGAAACCUGAUUCAGUGACCCCGAAGCCCCUGCCAACCUGAGGCUCCGUGUCCUCUCCAGAAGCCACCUCGCAGAAGGAAUGGCUGUUGCCUCCUGCAUGUCCGUCCCUCUCCGGGCCAUGGAACAGUGGGGCCUGCAAAUUCAUUUUCUCUCAUCCCCACUUUAGGAACAUCCCAUCUGGGCUGCCUGGGCUCCAGUCGUUGUCUCAGGGUGGCUGGAAGGGCUCAGAGGACACAGCCUGCUGCUAAGGUGGUCUCUGGACACUGUGCCUUACGGCUCCUAUCCAGAGACACCACAGCCUCAACUAAGAAUUUGGAGCCCAGCUUCAAAGGGGAGAGCAUAGCCUGGUUUUGCUGUUGCUGCUGAGUCGUCCGCUGGGUGCUGGGCAAGUCCCAGCCCUUCUUGCCACCCCUGCCUCUGUCAUGAGCCCUUUGCAGGUAGGACUGGCUUGCAAUUCAGGGAGAGAUGAUUGGAAAGUAGAAUCCAGAAUCCCGGUCUCAAUGCCCCAUUAUAUAAGGGCAGAAUCAAUACCCAGAGAGGGGCAAUGACUUGCCCAGGGUGACCCAGCUAAGGAAUGGUGGAGUUGGGCUUCAAGCCCCAUGGUCACAAAGUCCUAUUUGGGACUCAGGAUCUUAGAGGGCAAUGGUCCUGAAAUGUGAACCCCAAAUCCAUCUCCCACUGCAUAAAACCUCUGACUUGGGUGAAUCUGGGCUCCUGGAGAAGCCUGAGGGAGAAUGAGCUCCCCAUUUCCAUGGCUUUCUGUAGCCCAGAGAAGACGCAGAGGCAGAGCCUGGGUAAAGCUGGGAAGGUCAAGGAGAUGAGACCCUCCUGUGGGACAGGGUGAUGCCAGCCUCCUGCCUGAGUCCUUUGGUGGAGGGAUAACAGUAGGAACAGCACCAUCUCACCGAGCUGCCCUGGCUACCAGGACCUUUGUACCCAUCACUUCAGAGUACAAGACACUCCUGUGAGCCUGGCACAGCACUCACCUGUAUCACACAUGUGGAAACAGCUUCACCAGGUCCGGCCCUGUCUGUGGUCACACAGCUGGUCAGUGGCAGAGCCAAGGUCAGAAGCAGGUGUGGUGGGGUUGUUGUUUCGUUUUGGGUUUUUUUGAAAUGGAGUCUCGCUCUGUUACCCAGGCUGGAGUGCAGCUCACUGCGCUCACGAUCUCAGCUCACUGCAACCUCCGCCUCUCAGGUUCAAGCGAUUCCCGUCACAGCCUCCUGAGUAGCUGGGAUUACAGGCAUGGGCCACCAUGCCCAGCUAUUUCUGUAUUUUUAGUAGAGACAGGGUUUCACCGUGUUGGUCAGGCUGGUCUCGAACUCCUGACCUCAGGUGAUCCACCCACCUCAGCCUCCCAAAAUGCUGGGAUUACAGGUGUGAGCCACCACACCUGGUGUAGUUUUUGUUGUUGUUGUUUUGAGAUGGAAUUUCACUCGUUGCCCAGGCUGGAGUGCAAUGGCGUGAUCUCGGCUCACUGCAACCUCCACCUCCUGAUUUCAAGCAUUCUCCUACCUCAGCCUCCCGAGUAGCUGGAAUUACAGGCAUGUGCCACCACGCCCAGGUAAUUUUUGCAUUUUUAGCAGAGACAGGGUUUCACCAUGUUGGCCAGGCUAGUCUCGAUCUCCUGACCUCAUGUGAUCCACCCACCUUGGCCUCCCAAAGUGCUGGGAUUACAGGUGUGAGCCACCGCACCUGGUCCAGACUACUUGUUUGUUUUUGAGAUGGAGUUUUGCUCUUGUUGCCUAUACUGGAGUGCGAUGGCACUGUCUUGGCUCACUGAAACCUCCUCCUCCCAGGUUUGAGCAAUUCUCCUGCCUCAGCCUCCCGAAGUGCUGGGAUCUCCCCUCCUCGGCCUCCCAAAGUGCUGGAAUUACAGGCAUAAGCCACCACGCCCGGAUGCCAGUUUACUUCUUUAUGCCUCUGUUUCCUCCUCUAUGGAGGGCUAUUAGGAUCAAACCCCUCAGCUCUGGUAGCAGCAAACACAGCACAGUUGAGGGAUGGCUUUUCUGGCCUUCAGCUGGUGCUCGCUUCUCCCCCCUGUAGAGUGUGAGACUGAGGCUACUGAUUGCAUCUCUUCAGCCACAUCCUCUGGGCUGGCUGUUAGGGACCAGAAAGGAAGCAGCCCUGGGCCCUAUCCAGAUGCCUCAGGGGUUGGGGUGAAGACUCAUCCACCAAAAGUGGAAGAAGCCACAGCUGACUGCUUCAGGAGGCAUGCCCCCAUAACCUCAGGCAGACGCUUCACUUCUCUGGCCUGUUUCUGCCUCAAACUGUGUCCGGAAUUGGUGGGUUCUUGGUCUCACUGACUUCAAGAAUGAAGCCGUGGACCCUCGUGGUGAGUGUUACAGUUCUUAAAGGCGGCGUGUCCGGAGUUUUUUCCUUCUGAUGUUCGGAUGUGUUCGGAGUUUCUUCCUUCUGGUGGGGUUCGUGGUCUUCCCGGCUCAGGAGUGAAGCUGCAAACCUUCGUGGCUGGAGUAUACUGGCGUG